AUGAGUCGGAUAGCCAGAAGAGCACAUACACCCCAAUACUUACAAGACAACAGCUGGUCACUGCUGACACUGAAAGGUUUGGCCGGCGCAAGCGGUGCAGUGUGGGAGAGUGGCUCUCGACCUUGCAGACUGAAAGGGUUUCCCAGGGACAAACCACAAAGAGGUCCGUCCGUCAGAGGGGCCCACGCACGCCGCCUCAAAGAUCGGCAGCAGCUGUCACGCUGGAGCUCUCGCCAAGCAACAACAGUUCUCUGCUUUGAAUAAUUUCAGUGAGAUUUGAAUGAGCACAUUUUCAAAGGGGGGUUUUGCCAGCUUCAGGCUGCGUGUGCGAGCAGAGCGAAAUGAAAAUGAGGUGACUGGAGUGAGAAAUUGAAGCUCGAAGUGAAGUGAGAAUUGUAAAGGUGUGAGGAAAUCCAUCUCCUGCAUGUCGAUGGAGAGAUUCAAAGAGAAAGUAAACCAAUAUCACACUUUUUUAAAACAAUUUACUGUUUGUUACGAUGGUUACAUAAAUAUAUUUUCAGUGUUUUCCAGCUUUUUUUGUCCCAUCACGUCUCAAAUCCCUUGAUCAGCUAAACCAAAAAUGUGUUAAUUUUAAGUCAUAUUAUACAGUCCACUUUAAAGAGCUUUUAAAGCAACAGAUGACAAUAAUGCAGCUUUCACUUAUAAUAAACAUAAUUGUAUUGUCCUCGUCUAAUAUCAUUAUCUUUAUAGUUGGUGUAAAUGGGCCUUAACUCAAUGUGCUAUCUAAAGCAUAAGUUGCUCAAUAUUACAUUUUUGUUUAUUUACCUCUGUUAUAAAUACAAUAAAUAUAUUUUUUUUUUCCUCUAGUACCUUUGUAAGAAGUUGUAGUUUGACUGAAAUGUGAAACCUCCUACCUUGUAAACUGUUUAAGUAUCUACUGAGCAAAACAUAACCCUGAUAUGAUGUAUACAGUAUAAAUAUUAUGAUGUGAAUUAAAAAAAAUAGAUAGUGCUAAUCAUUUUCAUCAUACAAUGCAUGUUCAGGGCAGUAAGAAAAUGCAAGCGAUAUCUUAUAUUAAAAGAUUCUGGUUGAUCUGAUGUUUUUUUGUGCAUCUCAAAAUACCCUCGAGUCAUCCACAUAAACCAUGUACCAUAUAUCACAGCAUUUACUGCAGACAGCUUCAGCAGUUAGGAACGCAGGCCCCAAGCUCAGGUUUCAUUUGCAUCUCUGAUCAGGAUUUUAUCUACAAAUAAUGUGCAGACGCCAUCUCGUCUCCUGGUUUGUGGCGUUUGAUCUCAGGCGCAGUGAGAAUCUGAUAUCAGGGGCUCUUGAAAAAAAAAGACAGGCAUCAAAAAGCCUGCCACGGAAUAAGUGUUUACCCAUGACAUAAGGAGCUGUCAGUGUGCCGUCCGCACUGUUGGUCCCCUCAGGAUAAAGUGCUGUGCAGAUUUGUGGACUUUAUCUCUCUCGAAGGGAUUAUAUGUGGUAACAGGGAAGAACUGAAUCAUUAAAGAAGACUUCCGGGUUCAAGAGAAGUUAAGCUUUGGCUUAACAUGGCAUAAGGUUGAUUGGCAAACAAAAUCUUUUUGAUUUGUUGCUUAAAAGGCCAAAUUUGGGGUUACAGUAAGACAUUUACAAUGGAAAUAGCAGGAUGACAAAAAAAUCUGACACUCCUGCUUUAGGUUAUGACAUCAGAUUUCACAUAACUUGCAGAGCUCAUGUGAACAGGCCUCGAUUUCACAGCAUCUGCUCCAAGAUACUGUAACUGUCAAUGCGUAAAAAGCAAACGCUUCAUUGUCUGACGAGCUUACAGCAAAGCGCUUGUUCUACUGCCAAGAAACAAAAGAAAACACCAAUAAAUCUGACAACUGAGUUUUUUUCCUCUCGCUCUCUUUUUUUUCGGGUUUGGAAAAUGACUUUGCAUUGAUGUCCUCUGGCAAAUCACAUUAUUCAUAACUGUUGACCCAUUAUUCAAAAUCAUUACCACGCAGACAAGCAAUUAAAAUGCACCCCAAAGUUGUUUCCAAUGUGUCAUUUUCAGGGACAACUGUGCUAGCAUAAAGCACAUUUCAUGCUACACAAAGAUGUCUAUUGUUUCAGAUUUGCCAUUCUUCAUUAAGUAUAUAAAAAAAAGAAAAAAAAAUUGUGCUGAUCUCCGAUGAGCUUUUUGCAUUCCAAUAAUUACGUUCAUCAGGAAAAGGUGAGCACAUACUCAUCCUGUAUCAGCAUUCUAGUUCUCGAUGCAUCCUUCUUUUGAGAUUUUAUAUUUUCCUGAAUAUUACUUUUUUAAUAAUACUUACUUAUUUUCUUUUUAUUCUUUCACAUAACCUUAACCAUUAUCCAUUGCUUUGUAAAUAUUGAACAUUAUUAUUAAUACUUAUUUUAAAAAAUGCGACAUGGAAAAACUUUAAGUAUGCAAUGAUUGAAACAUUUCAGCUUUUAUGAGAAAAUGAAUGGUUCUGGUUCCAUUAACAGGUUUCAUUAGUUUAAAAAUAUUUUAAAAAUAUACAUUUUCCUCACCUCUCAUAUUUUUUUCCUUCCAUAUUAGUUCCAUCACAAAAGUCUUGUGUAAGAAUUAAAAAAUGUAUACACAUCGAAAUAUAAUUUGUUUAAAAAAAAACAUUUCAUAUAUAAAUUAUAAAUGCAACACUUUUGUUUUUGCCCUAAUUUUUCAUGAGCUGAACUCAAGGAUUUAAGACUUUGUCUAUGUACACAAGAGGCCUAUUUCUCUCAAAUAUUGUUCACGAAUCUGUCUAAAUCUGUGUUAGUGAGCACUUCUUCUUUGCCGAGAUAAUCCAUCCACCUCACAGGUGCGGCAUAUCAAGAUGCUGAUUAGACAGCAUGAUUCUUACACAGGUGUUUCUUGGCUGGCCAAAAUAAAAGGCCACUCAAAAAUGAAAAAUGGGGGCAAAAACAAAAGUGUUAUUUUUUCAUAGCCAUGUUCCUUUAGGGACUUCAUACUGAGAGCACUAUUUGAGAAGACAUUCCAUUGAACAGCUUACACCCACAGCAAUGCACAUUUUUCAUGUUUCCUUUAUCAAACACACCUGAUUCUGGUCAUCAGCUCAUCGGUACAGACAUCAAGACCCAAAAUGACGGUUUCUGACAAAAGAAAACACGUAAAGUGAAUUCUCUAGGAACGUUGUU
rnacentral:lncRNA from 1 species